UUUAAAAAGAUCAAAAGUCUUGUGACAUCAUAAAGACUGAUAGAUUGAGACUGCAAUGGAGAUGGGCCUUUUCUGCUGUGGCUCCUGUCCUCUGGAAUAUCAUUCCCCCUGAGUUAUGAGCUGCUGAGAGGCCAAGCUAAGCCUCUCUCAGAUGGUAUCAACUUACCACUGGGACAGUGACGAUAAAAGGACACUACCAAGCCACUUCCAGAUAUGCUAGAUGACUGUUCCCAGAAGUUCUACUUAGCAUGGCCUGUUCCAGUGCAUCCAGGGACCACCAGUUUGAAGAAAGCUGCAAUAAAAUUACUUCACUUCUUCUGUAGUAAUAUUCUCCCUUACCUAUAUUGUGUCUCCAUAGCAACAAUUGUGACAUCUCUGCAUAUCCAAUGUAUAUUUUCUGACAAAUCAGUUGAACUCAAAACAAUCAUCUCAAUCUCCAUGGAAACAGAUUUGGUGGCUCCUAUGGAAACAGGCAUGGAGGAAGAACCCCCGUAGAGUCACAGCUUUCGGAAUCACUCCCACCCACAGUGCAGACAGUGGCUCUGAAUGAAUUGAUGAACUGCCGUGAUGCCAGAUACUACUAAUAAGCAAUGUAAGAUGACCUGUUUAUGUAAGGGCAUUGCAGUCUGACAACAAUUGCACGUGCACAUCCUGGCCACUAUUUACUUGCACCAUAUUGCAUGGCUGUAUCAGA